rnacentral:rRNA from 1 species
GGGAAAGUUGAAAAGAACUUUGAAGAGAGAGUUCAAUAGUACGUGAAACCUCUCGGGGGUAAGCGGGCAGAACUUGCAAGUAUUGGCUGGGAAUAUUCAGGCUUAAUGUUGGCGACUGAGAGUGUAUUAUAAAGUUGUCCUUUUGGGGAUUGGCUGAUGUGUGCUCUUUGAUUUGUUGACGAUGCGCCGCAUUUAUUUCCGUCAUCGGGUUGCAUGUGACUGAGCCUGUAGUUUAGGUGCUGAGAUCCUGCGAAGCCUUGUUGUUUCGAGUCUUUGGUUUCCGACUACGGCUGCGGUCAUUAUAUCUUUUACUGGACAGGCGUUUAGGCGCGGUCAAUGGUUUGUACGAGUUGUGUGCAUGUUGUAUGUGGACGGGUAACCGUAGCAUACGAUAUGAGGCUGAUUGUCGGUAUGAGCUAAUUUGGCACUGUCCUUUGUG